CACGUAGGGUGCGAGCGUUGUCCGGAAUUAUUGGGCGUAAAGAGCUCGUAGGCGGUGUGUCGCGUCGGCUGUGAAAACCCGCAGCUCAACUGUGGGCUUGCAGCUGAUACGGGCGGGCUGGGAUUCGGUAGGGGAGACUGGAAUUCCUGGUGUAGCGGUGAAAUGCGCAGAUAUCAGGAAGAACACCCGUGGCGAAGGCGGCUCUCUGGGACGGUACUGACGCUGAGACGCGAAAGCGUGGGGAGCGAACAGG
rnacentral:rRNA from 1 species